UGGGGAACAUGACCUUCGGCGGGGGAUAGCCGGCCCAACGGCCGGGUAAUACCGCGUACGACCUUUUGGGGACAUCCCUGAAUGGUGAAAGCAGCAAUGCGCCGAUGGAGUGCCUCGCGGCCUAUCAGCUAGUUGGUGAGGUAACGGCUCACCAAGGCAGCGACGGGUANCUGGUCUGAGAGGAUGGCCAGCCACAUUGGGACUGAGACACGGCCCAGACCUCCUACGGGAGCAG
rnacentral:rRNA from 1 species